AUAUCAUUAAGCGGAGGAAAAGAAACUAACCAGGAUUCCCCUAGUAACGGCGAGUGAAGCGGGAAGAGCUCAAGCUUAAAACCGGUGUUCCACUGGGGACAUUGGAUUGUAGCCUAUAGAAGAGUUAUCCAGGAGGGACAGUGACCUAAAUGCCUUGGAACAGGCUGCCACGGAGGGUGAGAGCCCCGUCUUUGGUUGCUGUCUUAUUCUUUUGUGAUACUUUUUCGACGAGUCGGGUUGCUUGAGAGUGCAGCCUUAAGUGGGUGGUAUACUUCAUCUAAAGCUAAAUAUUGACACGAGACCGAUAGCGCACAAGUA
rnacentral:rRNA from 1 species